rnacentral:rRNA from 1 species
AUUCCAGCUCCAAUAGCGUAUAUUAAUGUUGUUGCAGUUAAAAAGCUCGUAGUUGGAUUUCUGGUCGGAACGCUGGUCCGGCUCCGCAAGGGGUCGUGUAUUGGUUUCUCCUGCCAUCCUCAGGGGGAGCUGCACUGGCAUUUGUUUGUCGGUGUGGUCACGCCUGUCGUUUACUGUGAACAAAUUAGAGUGUUCAAAGCAAGGUGUACUUGAAUACAUUAGCAUGGAAUAAUAAGAUAGGACUUUGGUGGUUCUUUUUAGAUAUUUUGUUGGUUUGCACGCCAAAGUAAUGAUUAAUAGGAGCAGUUGGGGGUAUUCGUAUUCAAUUGUCAGAGGUGAAAUUCUUGGAUUUAUAGAAGACGAACUACUGCGAAAGCAUUUACCAAGGAUGUUUUCAUCA